CCGAAACUAAGUGAGCUACUUAAAAAUAGCUGUAGAGCUAACCCGUCCCUGUCGCAAAAGGGUGGGAUAAUUUUUAAGUAGCGGUGACAAACCUAUCGAACUUAGAGAUAGCUGGUUUUUUAAGAAAAGAAUUUUAGUUCAGCCCUAAGUCUUUCUGCUAAGCAAAAACUUAUUUUAGACUUAAGAGUUAUUCAAAUAAGGCACAGCUUAUUUGAAACAGGACACAACCUUAAACACAGGGUAAGAUAAAUUAAACCUCAUAAGUAGGCCUAAGAGCAGCCACCUUUUAAAAAGCGUCAAAGCUUACACUAACAAACUUUUUAAUCUCUACAACAACCUCAAACCCUUAUUCCCCAUUUAAAAACCCCAUAAAACUAUGGAAGCUAUAAUGCUAGAACAAGUAACAAGAAAAAGACUUUCUCCAAAAUGUAAGCUCAAGCCACAAUAGACAAACUACUGGCAAUUAACGUUUAUAAACCACCUAUAGCAACUCUAACAAGAAAACCCUAUACUUUUCAACGUUAAUCUUACACCAGAACAC
rnacentral:rRNA from 1 species